GCCCGCUUGGCACAGCGGUAAUGCGCCUCACUAGUAUUGCAUCAAUACUAAUAAGGAAGCUUAUGAGGAGAUGACUGGUUCGACUCCAGUAGUGGGCA
rnacentral:tRNA from 1 species